rnacentral:rRNA from 1 species
UACGAAGGGGGCUAGCGUUGCUCGGAAUUACUGGGCGUAAAGGGAGCGUAGGCGGGUUAUCAAGUUGGGGGUGAAAGCCCGGGGCUCAACCUCGGAAUUGCCUUCAAAACUGAUAACCUGGAGUAUGGAAGAGGUAAGUGGAACUCCGAGUGUAGAGGUGAAAUUCGUAGAUAUUCGGAAGAACACCAGUGGCGAAGGCGGCUAUCUGGACCGUAACUGACGCUGAGGCGCGAAAGCGUGGGGAGCAAACAGG